CUCGCUAUUUCCCAUCUCUUGUCAGACUGUUGCCCGACUCUCUGGCUUCUGACUCAUCCCUCUGGAAAAGCCGGAAUGUUCUGCAUGCAAUCAGAAUGCAAUGAAUAUUUAUUUUCUUUGCAUCCUUUCCAUUCUGCCCAGCUAGCGCCCGGGUAACUCUUCCCCCUGUUCAUUUCAGAGUGUGACUCCCACUGCGUCAGCUGUUCAGUUGGAGAAAGGCCACUCAAUUAUCCAGCCACAAUAUACAAUGUAAUUGACAAUCAUCCUUGGGCUGAGACAUUUUCUCCUUGGAGACUCCCCUGAUUGAAGUUGGGCUACGUACACAUACUGAAGGUCUCUGGAUUCCCUGGCAACCUAGGAAAUCGAACUCCCUGGCCUUGGGUCACUUAGCCUUGUCCUCGGAGACGAUGCCGGCCAAAACCGUGAAGGAGCAGCCUAUCCAUUCUUUCGGUGCGAGAACUUUUGCCUU
ensembl:lncRNA